UACGUAGGGGGCAAGCGUUGUCCGGAAUCAUUGGGCGUAAAGCGCGUGUAGGCGGCCCGGUAAGUCCGCUGUGAAAGUCGGGGCUCAACCCUCGGAUGCCGGUGGAUACUGUCGGGCUAGAGUGCGGGAGGGGCGAGUGGAAUUCCUGGUGUAGCGGUGAAAUGCGCAGAUAUCAGGAGGAACACCAAUUGCGAAGGCAGCUCGCUGGGACGUCACUGACGCUGAGACGCGAAAGCGUGGGAGCAAACAGG
rnacentral:rRNA from 1 species